CUUUCCCUGACGCCAUUACAGUUCCAAAAGUUGAUAGUGUUGGUCGGACGUCGCCUUGAUUCCUGAAAAUUAUCGAAUAUUCCGGAAAAGGAUCAACUGACAAGUGCACUUCAAUCAUUUACAAGACGACUAGGUAAACCUCAACCUCCCCAAAACGGUUUUUUGGAGAAAGAUCGUAAUUAAGACUUUUACGAUUAACGGGGAGACUGAAGCCAUUUUGGCCUCAUUAAACAAAAGAGAAAGGGGCGGGUGUGAAAAAUUUGUAAUGGGUCAAAAAAGCUUGAAUUUCUCUGUUAACAAGUGUAUUCGAGCUCAGUUUAAUUCUGGCCUAUGUCAAGUCACUUAUCAAACAACCCAACCUUCUUGUAAGUUUGUCGAUGCGGAGCGGAGAGAAGAGCCAGGCGUUCAUCAACAACGACGACGGUAUACGACCGAGGAACUUUCCCGUUGGAUCCAGCGCUUUACCAAAGCGAAAAUUGCGUCGCGGAAGCAGCACGACUUGCGACGAGAGGUUUUACUUCACAAUGCCUUUAUUUUCGCCCAGUCUGAGGUCAAAUGCCGACAAGUGGAACGCCAAAAGAGGUGGAAGGAAUUGAAGCCGUUGCUGUUCUUGGAGACGUCAUCCACUUUCGGUGAGCAGGAACCAAACAAAAUGGCGGCCUUCCCCAAAAUGGCGGACGGCGUGCAGCAGCAAAUGGAGACUACUGAAGAAGAAAUGGACAUGGAGAGGCCAUCUACCCCACUUCCUAGCGUGACGGGAGCUACCAAACGUCAUCGUUGCGGUUGCUUGCCUCUAACCAGAUGUGAAUGCGGUAGUGAAGAUUCCAGCAGCAGCAGCAGCCAGGCCAACAAGAAAUUCCGCCCCUCGUCGCUUGAUGAAGAUGAUGAUCUGAAGAGUUUGGACCGUUUCCUUUCGUCUCUACACUGUAAUACGCGUCAAUUGACUGGGAGAACAUCAUCGUCUACCAAAUGUGCCCAACUGAUUGAGACGUUGGUGAUUUCCAGCACCUUUUCAACCUUUCUGAACUGAGAGAACAUGGGACACUUGAUGCUGAUCAGGUAGUUGAUACUCCAUGAUUGAGGUUGGUUGAACAACAGAAAAACCAAAUUGCUCAGCUCCAACAAAAAUCUGCAUAACUAGUGUUGGUUCAUAUUGAAUCAUUGAUUUUAAUAUUGUGGAAACUUUCCAUGUACAAAAUGACUUGCAACUUCUGGUACUCAAUAUAAUGAAUUUUUCCCGUCCUACGGUGAUUGAGCCCUGUGUGAUUGAGACCUUAUCUUCGGGAACAGCCGGAAAUUUCAUCUUUCAAUAUCUCACGUCGUUUAGUGCUCCUGAGCCUUGGCUUCAUCAAAACAAGAGACUGGUCUUUCCGAGAUUUUUCCUAGUCGGACACUUUCUCCCCAUGCCCAUGCAUGUCCAUUGGAGACGCUUCUGAUUCUUAAAAGGUUACGAAGUUCCUGAUGGUCAAAUCCGUUUUUGUUUUUCUCUUUCCUCGCAGUCGUGAAAUUCAUCGCCUGUUUACAGAUCGUCUGGUUACCCCAACCCUGGGUGAGAUUGAUGACUGGGGGAGGGUUAAAAUUCAUGCAUUCUUUCCUUUUGUCAAUUCAGGCCAUAUACCCAGACAUGGGUUCGGGGCCUUCGGGCUAUGAUGGAAUGUUUCUCUCUUCCCAUCCAGUCGGUUCAACAACAUUGCCUUCCAUUCCGUUUUAAACUUAGCCAAAUUGGAAGAUCCUCCGGGUCCAUAUACGUUCUUCACAAUGUUUUGGUUACCUUUUAGUCUAACGGUAAGAUGAUAUUUGGGUUUAUUUGUUCAUGGUCAAAUUCUUGCUCCAGGAAGUCGCUCGGCCGGUUUAGGAUUCCCCGUUUUCUCCCAGAAAAUUCAAGAACUACGCAUUCGUGAAUUUUUCGUUGUAUUGCCAUUGAUCAUUAUUGAAAUGAUCGGAAUAACAAAUUAUUCGUAAUUAGAAACCUUUAUAGGGAAAGGGCAAGGGCAAUAAUUUUUUCCAUUGUUCAAAAAGGAACGUGCCAACUGGCAUUGAAUGUGAUCUUUUAUUCAGGGGAGAUAGCGACCUAUUUCAACGGAAUUGUUGAAGCGAUAAGGUGACUGGUUAUGUUUUGAAACCGCAAUCCUGCUCGGUCUUGCUGAGGCGUGUACUUCAUAGAAGGACAACUGUAUUACGAAGUGACAAUGUUAAAAAUGUUGACGAAUUUUCCCUUGUACGCGCCACCUCAUGACGAAGGUAAAGAAACAAUGAAUGUUGGAAUUUGGGCUAGGCUUCGGAAGUCUUCCUAAUCGAAGGUAAUACAUUGCAAUGCAAAUUUAUUUUUUUGAAAAUCUGUUUCAUACACAAAGAUGAAUCAUUUCGAGGCGAUUCGCCCUAUAUGCUAAUAAGCGUUGGAUAUUUCGGUUCUUCAACUGCUUCUUGAACAAAAAUGGAAAUUCGCAAUACAUCAAACGUGAAAAGAUCUCAACUGAUAUACUAAAAAAUUCUAAUUUUGCAUUCCCUAAUAUAGUUACUGGUUGUAAACCUGCCGAACGAAUUAUGUUUGAUAACAUAUAAAAUUAAGUUACUCUUAUCAGGUUACGCCUUUUGGAAGAUUGGUAAAGGUAUUUAGGACAAUGUUGAUAACUGGCAUGGUUUUUAAAAACAUUCAUUAACUUCUAUUAUCCUACAUAAUUAUUGAUAAAUCUCAGGGUUCGAACUUACAAAACAAAUUCGCUCAACGAUUGGAGGCAGUUUGGGCGGAUAAAUGAGACAAUUCUUGAAUAGAGGUCUGUGGGUAGUUCCAAACCAGCGAGUUAUUCGGGCCCUGGUGGAAAUCUUUAACGAUUUCGUGAUACGGUCUAACUUCAUUGAUCACCUUUGUGUUUCUAAAUCUGUUGAAAAUAAUAAAAUGCACGUGAGUUAUGGAAAUGAAAAGAAAUAAAAAUGUUUCUUUUUA